UACGUAGGGGGCAAGCGUUGUCCGGAAUCAUUGGGCGUAAAGAGCGUGUAGGCGGCCAGAUAAGUCCGCUGUGAAAUCUCGAGGCUCAACUUCGAGCUGUCGGUGGAAACUGUCUGGCUAGAGUGCGGAAGAGGCGAGUGGAAUUCCUGGUGUAGCGGUGAAAUGCGCAGAUAUCAGGAGGAACACCAAUUGCGAAGGCAGCUCGCUGGGACGUAACUGACGCUGGAGACGCGAAAGCCGUGGGGAGCAAACAGG
rnacentral:rRNA from 1 species